GACACAGGGAUUGCCCUAGUAACGGCGAGUGAAGCGGCAACAGCUCAAAUUUGAAAUCUGGCCCUCGGGUCCGAGUUGUAAUUUGUAGAGGAUGCUUUUGGUGCGGUACCUUCCGAGUUCCCUGGAACGGGACGCCAUAGAGGGUGAGAGCCCCGUCUGGUUGGAUGCCAAUCCUCUGUAAAGCUCCUUCGACGAGUCGAGUAGUUUGGGAAUGCUGCUCUAAAUGGGAGGUAUAUGUCUUCUAAAGCUAAAUAUUGGCCAGAGACCGAUAGCGCACAAGUAGAGUGAUCGAAAGAUGAAAAGCACUUUGAAAAGAGAGUUAAAAAGCACGUGAAAUUGUUGAAAGGGAAGCGCUUAUGACCAGACUUGGGCUUGGUUGAUCAUCCGGCGUUCUCGCCGGUGCACUCUUCCGGCUCAGGCCAGCAUCAGUUUGCUUCGGGGGAUAAAGGCUUUGGGAAUGUGGCUCCCUCGGGAGUGUUAUAGCCCACUGUGUAAUACCCUGGAGCGGACUGAGGUACGCGUUCUGCAAGGAUGCUGGCGUAAUGGUCAUCAGUGACCCGUCUUGAAACACGGACCAAGGAGUCGAGGUUUUGCGCGAGUGUUUGGGCGUAAAACCCCCACGCGUAAUGAAAGUGAACGCUGGUGAGAGCUUCGGCGCAUCAUCGACCGAUCCUGAUGUAUUCGGAUGGAUUUGAGUAAGAGCGUAAAGCUUCGGACCCGAAAGAUGGUGAACUAUGCUUGGAUAGGGUGAAGCCAGAGGAAACUCUGGUGGAGGCUCGCAGCGGUUCUGACGUGCAAAUCGAUCGUCAAAUCUGAGCAUGGGGGCGAAAGACUAAUCGAACC
rnacentral:rRNA from 2 species